rnacentral:lncRNA from 1 species
CAGACUGAUACAGACAUGAAGGAAACCACCUGUCUCAUUGGGGAAUUUGGAAACAUGCCCUCGUGGCAGUGAUAAUCCUUCACCUCCUUGGGUUUUGUUUUAAUUGAGGAGAUGGCGGGAGAAUGCAGGAUGUACUCCGAGGAGGGGAAAAGAGGCCUUGAUAGCUGGCAGACCAGACCACUUGUAGAAAGGAUCUUCACUGAAGUGAUUAAGUACCUCUCAGCAGGGAGUUUCAUUAACACUGGAGGGGAGCAAAGAAGAAGAGGUUAUUUUUUCCUUUCCCAACAAGGGUAUCAUGAAAGGUGGCAGAAGGGACAAGCUGUGACAUCUGCUCUCUGCAGGUGGGUUGAAAGUCUCCAUCCAUGGGGUUUUGUGAAGGAAAGGGAUGUAUG